AGAUAGGUUGGAGGUGGAAGCGCGGCAACGUGUGGAGCUGACCAAUACUAAUCGGUCGAGGGCUUAUCCAA
rnacentral:rRNA from 1 species